AGCCAGUGAUGAGUUGCCAUGCUAAUACUGACGUAGUAGCACCGAGUGUGAGUGUGAGUGCUCACAGAGCUGACUGCGGCUG
rfam:Xenopus laevis strain J chromosome 7L, whole genome shotgun sequence.